GUGUACGUAUAUAGAGAGAGAGAGGGAGAGAGAGAGAGAGAGAGAGAGAGAGACGGUUGGAAAGAGGAGAAGAAAAAGCGGAGAAGAUAAAGAGGAGAAAAACCCUAGUCUGUUCUUCACGAAAUUAUUCAAGGUAAAGAGCCGGUCAUUCGGGAGGUACCGAAAUCUUAGUUUGGCAUACUUCGGUCGACACAAAGGUCACAGGUGGUCGUAGAGUUGGUCCACUACCGGUCGGCAUUUUGGGGACACUUGGAUUAGUAUCGAGUGUUGGUGUUUUUGGGUCGAGUUGGUUGUAAUGGGUCAAACUCUAAUUUUUGUUAAACUCAUUUUGUGACUAAGAUUGUCAAGUACUUUAUGAUUUCAAGUUUUUUUAAUUAUGUGGGAAACU